AAAGGACUGGCAUUCACUGAUGUGGAUGUCGAUUCCAUCAA
rnacentral:precursor_RNA from 1 species